rnacentral:rRNA from 1 species
AUUGAACGCUGGCGGCAUGCCUUACACAUGCAAGUCGAACGGCAGCACGGGUGCUUGCGCCUGGUGGCGAGUGGCGAACGGGUGAGUAAUAUAUCGGAACGUACCUUAUUGUGGGGGAUAACGCAGCGAAAGCUGUGUUAAUACCGCAUAAUCCCUAAGGGGGAAAGCGGGGGACCGUAAGGCCUCGCGCAAUUAGAGCGGCCGAUACCUGAUUAGCUAGUUGGUGAGGUAAAGGCUCACCAAGGCAACGAUCAGUAGCUGGUCUGAGAGGACGAUCAGCCACACUGGGACUGAGACACGGCCCAGACUCCUACGGGAGGCAGCAGUGGGGAAUUUUGGGCAAUGGGGGCAACCCUGAUCCAGCAAUGUCGCGUGAGUGAAGAAGGCCUUCGGGUUGUAAAGCUCUUUUGUCAGGGAAGAAACAGCAGCUCUAACACAGUAUGCGAAUGACGGUACCUGAAGAAUAAGCACCGGCUAACUACGUGCCAGCCGCCGCCGUAA